GCCCCAAAUAUUGGCCCAAUACUUGUUGUAAAUUGCAGAGACUGAUGAUGCGUUGCGGCAAUGGAUGCAUACAAAUGGUUCCGGCGAAGUGUUUCUAAUCUGAAUAAGGCGUCGUUGCCCUCCGUCGCGGCCGCUUCCAGCGCUAGCAAAAGUUCCGAAAACAAAUUACAACCCCAAGAAGAGGAUAAAAUCUAUGGAAUCACAGAGAAAUUAAUCGAAUUGGUCAAAUCAUUCUCUAUUGACACCUUCAGGAACUUCGCUCUUCCUGACGAGGAAGAAAGUGGCUCUGAUGUUGGAAAGUCUGGGAAUGUACGGAUGGAUCUUUCUGACUGGCAAGAAACUCAUGCUAUUCUUGUCCUUUCCAGAGUCAAGGAACUUGCGCAACUACGAUUUCAAUUAUGCCCUCGCUAUUUGAAGGAAAAGCAGUUUUGGAGAAUAUAUUUUACUCUUGUUAGGAGUUUGGUGGUGGAAUAUGAUCUUCAUGCUGUAAGAGUAGCCAUGCUCAAGCAGAUCAGAUCGGAAAGCGAGACUUUGUCUAACAGUAGUGCCUGUGAAGUUGAAAUGUCUGACACAAAAUUGGUACCUCCUUCGGACUCGGCAACUUCAGUGGAAUAGAUGUUGUCUUCAAAUUUGUAAAAUUUAGGCUUUAUCUGUUUGGGGAACCUCUGGGAUGUGCGUGGAGAGAAAUUAUUAUAUAGUAUGGAACUCUUUCUGGGAGGCCACCUGGAUUUUGUGAUAAAUGAGUGAAUAACUUUCUGAAAAUAUUUUACUCCCUGAUCAGAAAAUGACUUUGGGAAGGAGCCACUUUUACCAAUCUAUAUCAGGUACAUGAACUGCAAGUUUCAAGUUUAAAUGAUAGAACUACAUUUUACUUAAAGUAAUCUGAUUUAAAAAAUUAUACACACUGUUUAUUAUCAAAUAAACUCGUAAUUCUUGAAUCCAUCGAAGCGUGAGGUGGAUUUGAAGAUUCAUAAAUCUUAUAUUUGGUGUUUAAUCAAAUCCUAAUCGAGGAUUAAUAAACUGUAGUUACGCAAGUUUUUGCCUUGGUUGGUGGUGGUACUUACUCUACCCUACAAUCAGUAUACUGCUUGUUUGAUGAACGUUCAUUUAUAUAGAAUGAAUGACAGGUAGUUGAGCAAUAAAUAGUUGCAAUAGUAGUACUAAUUAUUUGGUCAUGUGUGUUAAUUCAAUCUUGUUGUUGCGAUGAUGGAAUUGAUAAGCUUUAAAAAGAAGUAAAAGGGAGUAUCACUUGUGUCACAAGAGAGAAUAUGAUUCGACUUUCAAGACAUUUUGGCAGACUCGUGACAAUAAAUACUCUGCUUCGAGUCUAUGUUCCAUGUGAACAACCAACCCAAAUGUAUACAUACAUGUAUACGUACAUGUAUCAUCAAGGAGGUUGGUCAGGUAAAAAUUUGAAAAAUGUACCCUCUCUCUGCAGCAGAGUUGUCAUCACCACAAGUUUGAGAGACAAGGGACAAAAUACAGUGAAAAUUCAUUUCAUGUAAACCCCCACUCUCUGCUGACAACGUUCAGAUCAAAUAGUGUGAGAUUCGUUUGGGAAAUUUUAUGUUACCCGUGAUUUCUCACUCAAUCUUCUUGCUCUUUACCUCUCUAUAUAUCUAUCUCACAAUUCCUCAUUUUCAACAAUAUUUCAAAUCAUGCAAGUACAUUAUUUUUGGAGUGAUUAGUGUUCCUUUGGGACUUCAUAUUUUCUUUUUCUUUUUUCUCUUUUUUACUUUAAU